CCGAGUUUACAACUCCCAAACCCCUGUGAACAUACCUUAUGUUGCCUCGGCGGAUCAGCCCGCGCCCGUAAAAAGGGACGGCCCGCCGCAGGAACCCUAAACUCUGUUUUUAGUGGAACUUCUGAGUAUAAAAAACAAAUAAAUCA
rnacentral:misc_RNA from 1 species